rnacentral:rRNA from 1 species
UACGUAGGGUGCGAGCGUUGUCCGGAAUUAUUGGGCGUAAAGCGCACGUAGGCGGCGCAGUAAGUCCCAUGUGAAAGCCCACGGCUUAACCGUGGAAGUGCAUGGGAAACUACUGUGCUUGAGUACUUAAGAGGAUCGCGGAAUUCCCGGUGUAGAGGUGAAAUUCGUAGAUAUCGGGAGGAACACCAGUGGCGAAGGCGGCGAUCUGGGAAGUUACGUGACGCUGAGGUGGCGAAAGC